rnacentral:rRNA from 1 species
UACGAAGGGGGCUAGCGUUGCUCGGAAUCACUGGGCGUAAAGGGUGCGUAGGCGGGGUUUUAAGUCAGAGGUGAAAUCCUGGAGCUCAACUCCAGAACUGCCUUUGAUACUGAAGAUCUUGAGUUCGGGAGAGGUGAGUGGAACUGCGAGUGUAGAGGUGAAAUUCGUAGAUAUUCGCAGGAACACCAGUGGCGAAGGCGGCUUACUGGUCCGAUACUGACGCUGAGGUGCGAAAGCGUGGGGAGCAAACAGG